AGCGAACGCUGGCGGCAGGCCUAACACAUGCAAGUCGAACGAAGUCUUCGGACUUAGUGGCGGACGGGUGAGUAACACGUGGGAACGUACCUUUUGGUUCGGAACAACUCAGGGAAACUUGAGCUAAUACCGGAUGAGCCCUUAGGGGGAAAGAUUUAUCGCCGAAAGAGCGGCCCGCGUUAGAUUAGCUAGUUGGUGAGGUAAAGGCUCACCAAGGCUACGAUCUAUAGCUGGUCUGAGAGGAUGAUCAGCCACACUGGGACUGAGACACGGCCCAGACUCCUACGGGAGGCAGCAGUGGGGAAUCUUGCCCAAUGGGCGAAAGCCUGACGCAGCCAUGCCGCGUGAAUGAUGAAGGUCUUAGGAUUGUAAAAUUCUUUUACCAGGGACGAUAAUGACGGUACCUGAAGAAAAAGCCCCGGCUAACUUCGUGCCAGCAGCCGCCGUAACAC
rnacentral:rRNA from 1 species